AAAACUAGGCUUUUCCUAAGUAAAGGGGACUAAAACUUGCCUUUUCAAAUGAAAAGGCAAGUUUUAGUCCCCUUUACUUAGGAAAAGCCUAGUUUUAGU
rnacentral:pre_miRNA from 1 species